rnacentral:pre_miRNA from 1 species
GGUCCAAAUUUGAAGUAGAGUAGGUUAGUAAGAUUGCCCGACCCUACCGAAGUAUUCUACUUCAAGUUUGUGCCC